CUAUCAAUGCACUGAAACUAAAGUUGAUUCAACGAUGUCACUACUCAGAGGUAGGUUCUUGCAUGAAAGAUCUGUUGAAGAGGAGAGAUUACCUUCAAUGGCAGUGAGUGAAUUAAAUCAAUUAAGUCUCUACUCAGAAGUAAAAUAUCCAUUAGCCUGUUACUUUAUCAGAAUGUGUUAUAUUUCCUCAACAAUGUCUAAUUUGAGUUUAUAGAAGCAAUAAACUCAUGUAGUAAACAGUGGAUGUAGUAAACCCAUUUCAGUCUAAUUUUAAAGGGUUUUUGAAUUUUCA